AAUAGAUACCCCGGUAGUCCACGCCGUAAACGAUGAGUACUAGGGGUUGGGGGUAUCGACCCCCUCAGUCUCGAAGCUAACGCGAUAAGUACUCCGCCUGGGGACUACGGCCGCAAGGCUAAAACUCAAAGGAAUUGACGGGGGCCCGCACAAGCAGCGGAGCGUGUGGUUUAAUUCGAUGAUACGCGAAGAACCUUACCUGGUCUUGACAUGCACGUGGUACUGAUUCGAAAGAUGAGGGACCCCUCAGGGAGCGUGCACAGGUGUUGCACGGCCGUCGUCAGCUCGUGCCGUGAGGUGUUGGGUUAAGUCUCGCAACGAGCGCAACCCCCGUCGUCAGUUGUACUUUUCUGACGAGACUGCCGGGAAAUCCCCGGAGGAAGGAGGGAUGAUGUCAAGUCAGCGUGGCCCUUACGACCAGGGGCUACACACACGCUACAAUGGGUGGUACAGAGGGUCGCGAAGCCGCGAGGUGGAGCUAAUCCCACAAAGCCAUCCUCAGUUCGGAUUGCAGGCUGAAACUCGCCUGCAUGAAGCCGGAGUUGC
rnacentral:rRNA from 1 species